GAUGAACGCUGGCGGCGUGCCUAAUACAUGCAAGUCGAGCGAACAGACGAGGAGCUUGCUCCUCUGACGUUAGCGGCGGACGGGUGAGUAACACGUGGAUAACCUACCUAUAAGACUGGGAUAACUUCGGGAAACCGGAGCUAAUACCGGAUAAUAUAUUGAACCGCAUGGUUCAAUAGUGAAAGACGGUUUUGCUGUCACUUAUAGAUGGAUCCGCGCCGCAUUAGCUAGUUGGUAAGGUAACGGCUUCCCAAGGCAACGAUGCGUAGCCGACCUGAGAGGGGGUCCGGCCACGCUGAAACGGGGACAGGGUCAAGACCCCAACGGGGGGCAGCAGUGGGGAAUCUUCCGCAAUGGGCGAAGGCCUGACGGGGAAACGCCGCGUGAGUGAGGAGGGUCUUCGGAUCGUAAACCUCUGUUAUUAGGGAAGAACAAAUGUGUAAGUAACUAUGCACGUCUUGACGGUACCUAAUCAGAAAGCCACGGCUAACUCCGU
rnacentral:rRNA from 1 species